ACACACAGACUCUGCAGGGGAUAGAAGUUGGCUAUGUUGUUCCAUAAGCAUAUUUUCAACUCAGCACAAUGAAGACCAUUGUCCUAGAUGGCCUGCUGGGGAAAUGGAUUAUGUAAUUAUGAAGAGCUGAGAUUUAACACUUAUGCCAGUAUCUGCUGGCCAGGCUGGAGGGCAGUGGCAAUCAUAGCUCACUGUAGCCUUGAACUCCUGGGCUUAGGUGUUCUCCUGACUCAGUCUUCCAAGUAGCUGGAACUACAGGUGUGUGCCACCAUGCCUGGCUAAUUUUUUAAAUCUUUUGCAGAGAUAGGGUCUUGCUAUGUUGCCCAGACUGGUCUCCAACUCUUGGACUCAGAAAUCAACUCUAAGGAAAGAAGUAGGCAGGAAACCUGUUGAAAGAAAAUGAAAGCAUUAUAUUUCAGCAAUUACUUAAAUCCUGCAAGAAGAUCAUGUUUGAUGGAAAGCAGUUGGUGUAGAUAACUGAAACUGCAGAAGAGAAAACUGUGAAUAAAAGGGAACAACUGUACCCUUACAACCACCACUGUAAUCAAGAGGUAUAACAGCUUCAUCAGUUCAGUAAGUUUCCUCAUGCUCCUUUGCUUUGAUCUUCACUCCCUACCCAACCCUAGGC
rnacentral:lncRNA from 1 species